rnacentral:piRNA from 1 species
UGGCAUAGAGUCUCAAAGGUCACA